rnacentral:rRNA from 1 species
UACGAAGGGGGCUAGCGUUGCUCGGAAUUACUGGGCGUAAAGCGCACGUAGGCGGCUCUUUAAGUCGGAGGUGAAAUCCUGGAGCUCAACUCCAGAACUGCCUUCGAUACUGAAGAGCUCGAGUCCGGGAGAGGUGAGUGGAACUGCGAGUGUAGAGGUGAAAUUCGUAGAUAUUCGCAAGAACACCAGUGGCGAAGGCGGCUCACUGGCCCGGUACUGACGCUGAGGCGCGAAAGCGUGGGGAGCAAACAGG